rnacentral:rRNA from 1 species
UAGGGAAUCUUCCACAAUGGACGAAAGUCCGAUGGAGCAACGCCGCGUGAGUGAAGAAGGGUUUCGGCUCGUAAAACUCUGUUGUUAAAGAAGAACAUAUCUGAGAGUAACUGUUCAGGUAUUGACGGUAUUUAACCAGAAAGCCACGGCUAACUACGUGCCAG